rnacentral:rRNA from 1 species
AACGAACGCUGGCGGCAUGCCUAACACAUGCAAGUCGAACGAGACCUUCGGGUCUAGUGGCGCACGGGUGCGUAACGCGUGGGAACCUGCCCUUAGGUUCGGAAUAACUCCCCGAAAGGGGUGCUAAUACCGGAUAAUGUCUUCGGACCAAAGAUUUAUCGCCUUUGGAUGGGCCCGCGUUGGAUUAGCUAGUUGGUAGGGUAAAAGCCUACCAAGGCGACGAUCCAUAGCUGGUCUGAGAGGAUGAUCAGCCACACUGGGACUGAGACACGGCCCAGACUCCUACGGGAGGCAGCAGUGGGGAAUAUGGGACAUGGGGCGAAAGCCUGAUCCAGCAAGGCCGCGUGGGUGAUGAAGGCCUUAGGGUUGUAAAGCUCUUUUACCCGGGAUGAUAAUGACAGUACCGGGAGAAUAAGCUCCGGCUAACUCCGU